CUCAAUUUUUACUUAAUAAAAGUAUAAAAAAAUAUCUCACACUGCAACUUGCAGUGACCUAAACAUGGCCUCCGGUCACCGGGAAAAGUUGAGCAUGGCCGGAUUAAGCGACCGCAUCGCCAGGUCUCUCCUUGAGUGUCAUGACCAAACUCUGCGCUGUCUCAUCGAGCCCGCCGCCGCCGGAGCCAAAAACCUAAGCGACGCGCAAAUCGUGCAGCUCAUCUGCUCCACCUUCCCUCUGACAUUCUCCCGCUCCAACUGCAACCUCCUAAUCGAACGCGUCGCGAAAAUAUCUCCGCUCUCGUGCAGGAGAGAGAGCGCCGGGGACGAGCCAGCAGCGAAAAAGCCAAAAUUCAACGAGAGUCAGAAUGCGAAUCGGCAAAUUGAGGUAGCUAAGGCUUCUGCUUCAGCUAGUUAUUCUGAUUCUAACGGUUGGGAACUUGAUUCUGCUAGGAGUUAUAGAUAUGGUGGUGAUGGGUGGGAUACGGAUGCUAAUGGGGAUAAUAUGGCUAUAAUUGGGGGUUUCGUGCAAGGAAAUAAAUUAGGGAAUAACAUGAGAGAGCUGAAGAAGAAUGAGGAUAAGUGGCCAAUGUUUAGUGACAUUGGUGGGAGGUAUUCUAUGUUGGAGGUUUUGAAAAGAGAUGUGAUUGCGCCGAUGCACCAGUUGAAGGUACUGCGUUUCAUUGGAGGCAAACCUUCAACAUCAAUUCUGUUACAUGGGCCACCGGGCUGUGGGAAAACCAUGUUGGCUCGAGCCAUUGGCAAUGAGGCCCGAGUACCGUUCUAUGAAACAUCUGCUGUUGCGUUGAAGUCUGGAGUGUCAGGUAUCCUAGAGUUGUUCUCCAGAGCAUACAAGAACGCACCAUCUAUUGUGUUCAUUGAUGAAAUUGAUGCAUUGACUUCAGAAACGGAAAGUUUGUGGCAGUGCCCAGCAAAACAGUUGAUGGCUUGCAUGAAGGAAUCUGUGAAUGCCGGUUCUGAUUCUGAAAGAUCUAAUAGUGGACGUGGUGGCUAUGUGCUGACGAUUGGAGCAACCAAUAAACCUAAUGCUCUUGACCUUGCCUUAAGGCAGCGGUUUGAUCGUGAAUUUUAUUUAGAUGUUCCAAAAAAUCAUCAACGGCAUGACAUUUUAUCAGUUCUAACAAGUAAAUAUAAGGUCGAUGAUGAUUUUGAUUUGAAGGAGUUAGCUAGGUUGACUCAGGGUUUUGUAGCAGGAGAUUUGGUAGAACUAGUAAAUAAGGCUCGUAUGAUUUCUUUUAAUUGUGCCAUUCACUUGAGAGCUCACAUAAAGGGCUUUAAAGAUGGGUUUGAAGCUUAUGGGAUAGCAUUUUCAAAUGAAGAAUUGGAGAAAGUCAGAUUGACCCGGGACAGUAUUGAUCAGGCUAUUGAGACGGUUUGGCCAUCUGCUGAAAUGGAAGAAUUUUCCACCACACCAUGUACAAACUGGGAUGAUGUUGGAGGCCUUCAAUUGUUGAAAUUAGAACUGGAACGCCGCAUAGUUAAGCUUAUAAAGUUUCCACAAGUUUAUGAGUCUCUUUGGGAAAGUGGGGUGAAGAACUUUCCAACCUCCUUUUUCCUUUAUGGUCCUUCGGGUUGUGGAAAGACAUUGAUUGUCGAUGCUUUGGCUAAAGAAGCAGGAGCGAAUUUAAUGCAUAUCAAGGGCAAUGAACUAUCAAAGUUUGAGUGGAGGCAGUUGAUGGUGAAUAAUAUUUUCAAAUGUGCAAAAACUCACCCUCCAUGUAUAGUUUUCUUUGAUGAGGUGGACGUGUUAUCCCGAGAUGAUUUCACAGACGAAGAUCUAGAGGAGGACGAAUAUUUAUGGAAGUCAUGGGAAUAUAGAUCGAUAUGGGCCCAAGUCAGUGAUUUAAAAAAAGAAUCGCGUGUUUAUGUGAUUGUAACAUCAAGUAGGCCAGAGAUUCUGGAGCUUAUCCCGCUCAUCAAAGAUGAUUUUGGUAGGACUUUGUAUGCUCCUCUUCCUACUCCAGAAGAGAGAGGAGAGAUAUUGAAGAUUCUUGCUCGAAACAAGCCAAUAGAUGUCGAAGUGGAUCUGAUGGCUCUAGGAAAAGACGCCGCUUGUGAAAAUUUCAGUGGCUCUGAUCUAUUUGCAUUGAUGACAGAAGCUAUUAAGUUCGCCAUUGAUCGACCGGCAUUGUCCUGUGGGGGUAGCAUGACCAUCACAAAUGCAGAUUUUGAGGCCGCGCUAGCUAAAGUCUCCCCUUCUCUCUCGACCGAGGAACGCAACAAAUGGGUGCUACACGCGAAGAAGAUUGAUGUUGUUCAUGGCGCAUCUGCGAUGGACUGGUAGAUUUAUGUCCACUAAUUUAUGUGUGCAUGAGAGAGAGGAUGACUGUGGCGGCGAAGGUAGCGGUUGAAUUGGUGCCUCACCCUGUCAAAGAGCAGCUCCCCGGCAUCGAUUUUUGCGUCAACAGCAAUCCUUCAUGGGGUGAAGUUGUGAUUCUAGGAUUUCAACAUUACUUGGUAAUGCUUGGAACUACUGUGAUAAUUCCUACCAGUAUUGUUCCUUUCAUGGGUGGAGGCAAUGUUAGUAUUUAUUUCUAAUCAAUUUCAUUAAUUUCGCCUAGAUGGCGGUCAAGCUUCGAACGCGACAUGUGUUGUGGGACAAGUCAUUUUAAUUUUUUUUAAUCCAAACAUUUGUGUAUUUAAAAUUUGUACGCGUGUACAAUUCACAAUUCAUCCCAUAGUAAUUCUCCGUCUGUA